GAGUGGGGUUUAAUCUGGACUGAAUUGGAGGAAAGGAACUGGCACCAGAGUGGAGGCUGGAAGGAUGGUGGAACUGACACUGGGACAGAACACAGAAAACAGAAUCUAAUGCUAUUGCUCUGGCUAUAUCAAAUAAAAGUGUCAAGAGUGAGCAUCCUUGCCUUGUGCUGAAUCACAAAGGAAUACCUUUCAGUUUUUCUCCAUUGAUUAUGAUAGCAGUGGGCUUUUCACAGUGGGCUUUACUGUGUUGAGGAGGAGGUCUGAUGGCCGGGAGGACAGGAAGAAGGAACCCACAAUGAAGCAAAAGUUGCGUUUAACUCUGUCCUCACCAUUCCUCUCCUGGACCUGUCCUAAACUGGAAGCUGGGGGAGGAUGGAGUGCUGGAAUGCUGCAGAAGUCUCAUGGGAGGGCGCCUGGUGUUCACCACAUGUGUACACUGUUGCACGACCAGUGAACCUUCAGAAAGGGCAGAAAGGAAGUUUACUUCUGCCUCUACAAUGGAUUUGCCUACUUUAGACAUGUUUUCAAGAUUUAUCCACGUCAUGGCAUAUACCAGAACUUCAUUUCUUUUAUGAUUGAAUAAUAUUACAUGGUUUUAAUAUACUAUAUUUUGUUUAUCUGUUCAUCAAUUAAUAAAUCUUUGGGUUGUUUUCACUUUUAGGCUAUAAUAAUUAACGCUGUUAGGAAUAUUUACUUGUAAGUUUUUGUUAUAUGUUUUUAAUUCUCCUGGGUAGAUACUUAGGGAUAAAAUUGCUGAAUUAGAUUGUAACUUUAUGUUUAGAAACUGCCCAACUGUUUUCCAAAGUAACUAUCAUUUUAAUAUUUCACCAGCAUUGUAUGACAGUUCUGGUCUUUCCUUAUUUAAACUAAUACUUAAUUGUUGCCUUUUAUUGUAGCUAUCCUAGUAGAUAUGAAGUGUUAUCUCAUUAUGGUUUUGAUUUGCAUUCUCUAAUGACUAAUAAUAUCAAGCAUCUUUUCAUGUGUAUACAAGAUAUUUGUAUAUCUUCUUUAGAGAAAUGUCUACUCAAAUCCUGUGCCUAUGUUUUAAUUGGAUAAUUUAUGUUUUUAUUGUUGAGUUGUAAUAGUUUUUAAAUAUAUUCUGGAUCCUAGACCUUUAACA
rnacentral:lncRNA from 1 species